UAAUUUUAUUUUGCAUUCCUCUGUUUGCAGGGAAUGGUGUUUGAUCUUGCGAAAUCCUAUAUAUUGAUCUUGCAAAAUCUAAUUCCUGACCUAAGUGCUCAAGAACAGAUGAUGAAUGGAGUGGCUCAGAUAAGAAGGCAAGAGCAUCUUCCACAUUUUCAAGGGGUUCUUCUGACUUUGGUUUUGGCAGCGUUCACAUGCCUGGAACGGGUAAUUCUGCUUACAACAUGAUUGGUUAUCCACCUACACAAAGGUCAUCUGCAUUACUUAAGCACAACUUUCAUUACUUAGAAGUGAUUACUUCUAGAUCAAUUAGCACAUACUUUUACUUUCAAGUGAUUGCUUCUAGCAGAAAGGUCAAGGUUCAAGUAAAAGCGGUUACUACAUGCCUGUUUGCAGAAGUUGGAGUGUAGUAUCUGCCUUUUUUAUUUUCAGUUCUACAUGUAUCUGUAAAACCUUGUCUGAUUAUUAAUCCUUGUUUUCUCUUUUUCCCUUUUGCUAUCA